AAUAUUCCGCAAUGGGCGAAAGCCUGACGGAGCGACGCCGCGUGAGUGAAGAAGGCCUUCGGGUUGUAAAGCUCUGUCAAGAGGGACGAAGGAGUGACGGUACCUCUAGAGGAAGCCCCGGCUAACUACGUGCCAGCCGCCGCGGUAAUACGUAGGGGGCGAGCGUUGUCCGGAAUUACUGGGUGUAAAGGGCGCGUAGGCGGUUGUUUAAGUCAGGUGAAAAAGGUCACGGCUCAACCGUGGUAGUUCAUCUGAUACUGGACGGCUUGAGUGCAGGAGAGGGGAGUGGAAUUCCCAGUGUAGCGGUGAAAUGCGUAGAUAUUGGGAGGAACACCAGUGGCGAAGGCGGCUCCCUGGCCUGCAACUGACGCUGAGGCGCGAAAGCUGGGGGAGCGAACAGG
rnacentral:rRNA from 1 species